rnacentral:rRNA from 1 species
UACGUAGGGUGCGAGCGCUAAUCGGAAUUACUGGGCGUAAAGCGUGCGUAGGCGGUUCGUUAAGUUCGUUGUGAAAGCCCCGGGCUCAACCUGGGAACUGCAAUGGAAACUGGCGGGCUUGAGUGUGGCAGAGGGGGGUGGAAUUCCGCGUGUAGCAGUGAAAUGCGUAGAGAUGCGGAGGAACACCGAUGGCGAAGGCAGCCCCCUGGGCCAACACUGACGCUCAGGCACGAAAGCGUGGGGAGCAAACAGG